UGGGAAUGCUUUUCUGUCUCUCUUGAAC
rnacentral:piRNA from 1 species